GACGGACGCUGGCGGCGUGCUUAACACAUGCAAGUCGUACGGUAAGGCCCUUUCGGGGGUACACGAGUGGCGAACGGGUGAGUAACACGUGAGUAACCUGCCCACAACUUUGGGAUAACGCUAGGAAACUGGUGCUAAUACUGGAUAUGUGCCCCUGCUGCAUGGUGGGGGUUGGAAAGCUCCGGCGGUUGUGGAUGGACUCGCGGCCUAUCAGCUUGUUGGUGGGGUAGUGGCCUACCAAGGCGGCGACGGGUAGCCGGCCUGAGAGGGUGACCGGCCACAUUGGGACUGAGAGACGGCCCAGACUCCUACGGGAGGCAGCAGUGGGGAAUAUUGCACAAUGGGCGCAAGCCUGAUGCAGCAACGCCGCGUGCGGGAUGACGGCCUUCGGGUUGUAAACCGCUUUCAGCAGGGACGAAGCUUUUUGUGACGGUACCUGCAGAAGAAGCACCGGCUAACUACGUG
rnacentral:rRNA from 1 species